rnacentral:lncRNA from 1 species
AUUUCCCAUUUUGCUAUCUAUAAUUGCCCUUUCCUUCAAAAAUUUCACAUCCUUAGCAGUAUCAAUUAUGCCACACAUAAAAUCCAAAUAUUCUGAAAAUUUGAUACUUGAACCAGGGCUGGCUGAGGCUUCUUCAUAGGCCUUGAGAUUUCUCAAAAUCACUUCUGAAUUAGUGUUCAACUUCAUGAUGGGUAGGUAAAGUACGUUUUCACCCUCAUUGUACUUAAUUCCAAUGCCCUGCUGUGUCCAUUUUCGGAAGUCUAUUCUGGUAAUUUGAUGUAGUUGUGUCACUGAAGGAAUUUUGAUUUCCUCCACAGUGUUAACUGGGAUAACCUUCUUGAAAAGAUUGAAAAGCUCCAUUCCCUCGUGCAGUGGCAACUUUGCCAUCAGCAUAAGGGGCUUUUGCCCUGUUAAAUUAGCUAAGAGAGUUGCAGCUUGCUGAAGUAAUUGAUUGGGUUCUUCGUCAGUGGGGAUCAAUGACUCCGUAAGGCCUAUGGUUGUGGUCGAGCUCUGAGAAGGAUUCAAUGGUUGGUUUCCACUUUGCCCCAAAGAUAACUGAAUUGCU